UACAGAGGGUGCGAGCGUUGUUCGGAAUUACUGGGCGUAAAGCGCGCGUAGGCGGCUUUGCAAGUCGGGUGUGAAAUCCCCAGGCUUAACCUGGGAACUGCAUUCGAGACUGCAUUGCUAGAGUAUGGGAGAGGGAAGUGGAAUUUCCGGUGUAGCGGUGAAAUGCGUAGAUAUCGGGAGGAACAUCAGUGGCGAAGGCGGCUACCUGGCCCAAUACUGACACUCAGGUGCGACAGCGUGGGGAGCAAACAGG
rnacentral:rRNA from 1 species